UCCAAAUCCAUUAAAAAUCCAAUACAAAUUCGAACCAAAUCCAAUCAAAAUUCGAUCCAAAUCCAAUCCAAAUUCUAUCCAAUUCCAAUCCAAAUCCAAUUCAAGUAAAAAAAAAACCAAUCCAAAUCCAAUUCACAUCAAAUCCAAUUCCAAUCCCAAUCCAAAUCCAAUUUAUUACACACAUACAUACAUACACACAGAGACCUCAGUUUUUUUUCGAGCCUUAUUGAUUUGUAUAAAAUAUUGUGUUUUCGGUCGUUUGUUUUUGGAGUGAUCUUAUUUAUAUCCUUUACUUACAUUAAGUGAAGUGAAGUGUUCAAAAUACAUCUUGAGAAAUAUUUAAUUUUCAAGUCUUACUUUCCAGUUUAAGGAGAGAAAACACAUAAAUAUGAGGAGGUUGUGGUAAUUGAUCAACAAAUUAGUUGCAUUUGAACUCUCAACACAACCAUAAAUCAUGAGGUUGGCGUGUUUCGGCUUAAUUCUCUAAUAUCCAGUCCAAAUUUCAACGAAAGCCAAAUUGCUCAGCACAGGUUUUUGAAGUCAACGCAACGGUUGAAAGGAGUUAGAUGUCAAGCGUAAAUACCAGAAGCGGUUACAAAUGUGUGAAGGAAUGAGAUUUUCUUGACUGUUGCUGUUCUUUGUUUCGCCGCGUCGUCGCCUGGAAUACCGUGCCGAAGUCAUGUUGUUGGUCAAAUCAGCUUAACAAACGGUGCGCGCCAUCACAGCCAUUAUUAUCAUAAAAUUGUAGUUAUGAUUCCGAAAACAUCAUAAGAAUAAAUAAGCAGAUUCAUUACCGAUUUAUAAGGAAAAAUAUAAACAUGAUUUACAACUGAA